rnacentral:rRNA from 1 species
AUUGAACGCUGGCGGCGUGCUUAACACAUGCAAGUCGAUCGGUAACGCGGGGGCAACCCUGGCGACGAGAGGCGGACGGGUGAGGAACGCUUGGGAAUCUGCCUAUCAGCGGGGGACAACACGGGGAAACUCGUGCUAAUACCGCAUACGCUCUACGGAGGAAAGCAGGGGAUCGCAAGACCUUGCGCUGAUUGAGCGGCCGAUGUCAGAUUAGCUAGUUGGUGAGGUAAAGGCUCACCAAGGCGACGAUCUGUAGCGGGUCUGAGAGGAUGAUCCGCCACACUGGAACUGAGACACGGUCCAGACUCCUACGGGAGGCAGCAGUGGGGAAUAUUGCACAAUGGGCGCAAGCCUGAUGCAGCCAUGCCGCGUGUAUGAAGAAGGCCUUCGGGUUGUAAAGUACUUUCAGCGGGGAGGAAGGGAGUAAGGUUAAUAACCUUGCUCAUUGACGUUACCCGCAGAAGAAGCACCGGCUAACUCCGUGCCAGCAGCCGCCGUAAAAC